UGAAAAGGAAUUUGCCAAUGAGCUAUAAGA
rnacentral:piRNA from 1 species